rnacentral:rRNA from 1 species
CCUACGGGUGGCAGCAGUGGGGAAUAUUGCACAAUGGGGGAAACCCUGAUGCAGCGACGCCGCGUGAGUGAAGAAGUAUCUCGGUACGUAAAGCUCCAUCAGUAGGGAAGAAAAUGACGGUACCUGACUAAGAAGCCCCGUCUAACUACGUGCCAGCAGCCGCGGUGAUAAGUAGGGGGCAAGCGUUAUCCGGAUGUACUGGGUGUAAAGGGAGAGUAGACGGCAGCGCAAGUCUAGAGUGAAAUCCCAUGGCUUAACCAUGGAACUGCUUUGGAAACUGAGUAGCUAGAGUGCAGGAGAGGUAAGCGGAAUUCCUAGUGUAGCGGUGAAAUGCAUAGAGAUUAGGAGGAACCCCGGUGGCGAAGGCGGCUUACUGGACUGUAACUGACGUUGAAGCUCGAAAGCGUGGGGAGCAAACAGGAUUAGAUACCCGUGUAGUC